AGGGACACUAGAGAUCCUAUCUUUCUUCAUGCAAGCACAGAGAAAGCAUUCAUCUACAGGGUGGGCAUAGACGUCUCACCAUAAAGCAACCCUGAUGGGACCUUGACCUUGGAAUUCUAGCACCAAAACUGUCAGCUUCCGUACGGUGAAUUCAUAUGCAAAUACGUCCCUUUUUUUCAGAUCACUUGUGGCCUUUUAGCAACCUCCUUUCUCCUCCCAGGCUUCCUCAGUGUUUGGCCUUGGAUUCAACUGGCAAAAAAAAAUUUCUUUUGGUAAAAUGAAUACACUCAAAUCUACUCUGAUUGGUCCAUUCCCCACUGUCUCCAUUUUUGAAGUGGCUCUU